AAAAUCAGGCAUAUCUACCAUCUCAAACACCACCUGGUAUCAAGGAUCUUCGACGUGAAGACUUGUUGAGCAUUCGUGGCAAUGGGAAAGGCGAGAGGAAGCUGCAUGAACGAAUCUAUGAUUAUGAUGUUUAUAACGAUUUAGGCAAUCCUGACAAAAGUGAGGAUCUUGCUAGGCCACUGCUAGGUGGCAAAGAGAAACCUUAUCCCAGGCGCUGUCGGACUGGUAGAGGUCCAACUAAGAAAGAUCCACUUGCAGAGAGAAGAAUAGAGAAACCUCAUCCAGUUUACGUCCCUAGAGAUGAAACUUUUGAAGAAAUUAAGCAAAAUACUUUUUCUGCUGGAAGGUUGAAAGCUCUGUUACAUAACCUGGUACCAUUAAUUGCGGCUACAUUGUCAAGCUCAGACAUUCCAUUUACAAACUUCACUGACAUAGAUAAACUGUAUAAGGAUGGGGUUGUCUUGAAUGAUGAUAAUGAUCCACAGAAGAAUAAUUUUCUUUCUGAAAUGUUGGAGAAAGUGUUUUCUGUCAGCAAAAGGUUGCUCAAGUACGAGAUUCCUGCUAUAAUCAGAAGGGAUAGAUUUGCUUGGUUGCGAGAUAAUGAGUUUGCGCGACAAGCUUUAGCAGGGGUUAACCCUGUGAACAUUGAACUUUUGAGGGAAUUUCCAAUUGUUAGCAAGCUAGACCCAGCUGUUUAUGGUCCCCCUGAUUCAGCUAUUACACGGGAUGUUAUAGAACAAGAGCUUAACGGAAUGAGUGUUGAAGAGGCUAUUCAAGCUAAGAGAUUGUUUAUACUUGAUUAUCAUGACAUGCUUUUGCCUUUUAUUGGGAAGAUGAACUCCUUGCCGGGGAGAAAAGCUUAUGCAUCAAGAACACUUUUCUUCUAUACAUCCAGAGGUGUUCUAAAGCCAAUUAUCGUUGAACUUUCACUGCCUCCGACACCUUCUUCAGCUAGGAACAAGCGUAUAUUCUCCCAUGGACAAGAUGCAACCAAUCACUGGAUAUGGAAUCUAGCCAAAGCACAUGUUUGUUCAAAUGAUGCUGGUGUCCAUCAGUUGGUGAACCACUGGUUAAGGACUCAUGCUUGUAUGGAACCAUAUAUCAUUGCAUCCCAUAGGCAUCUUAGCUCACUGCACCCAAUUUAUAAGCUACUUCACCCUCAUAUGCGCUACACGCUGGAAAUCAAUGCACUUGCAAGGCAGAGUUUGAUAAAUGGAGGUGGAGUUAUUGAAGCAUGUUUCAGUCCUGGAAGGUAUUCAAUGGAAAUAAGCUCUGCCGCUUACAAGAGCAUGUGGCGGUUUGAUAUGGAAGCACUGCCUGCAGAUUUAAUAAGACGGGGAAUGGCUGUGGAGGAUACAUCGAUGCCUUUGGGGGUGAAACUUGUGAUUGAAGACUACCCUUAUGCAGCAGAUGGCCUUCUCAUAUGGUCUGCAAUAAAAGAAUAUGUGGAGUCCUAUGUUGAUCAUUACUAUUCCGAGCCUAAUUUUGUCACGUCUGACGUUGAGCUCCAGGGCUGGUGGAAUGAGAUCAAGAACAAGGGACACGCGGAUAAGAAAAACGAGACUUGGUGGCCAAAGCUUGUUACUAAAGAAGACUUGUCUGGCAUACUCACCACAAUGAUCUGGACUGCCUCAGGCCAACAUGCAGCAAUAAACUUCGGGCAGUACCCUUUCGGAGGUUAUGUACCUAACCGUCCCACCAUUAUGCGAAAGCUCAUCCCACAUGAAGAUGAUCCCAGCUAUGAAAACUUUAUUCUUCACCCCGAGUAUACUUUUCUUGCUUCUUUGCCUACUCAACUCCAAGCUACUAAAGUGAUGGCUGUUCAAGAUACCUUGUCGACUCAUUCAGCAGACGAGGAGUACAUGUAUCAGUUACACGAAAUUCAACAAUUCUCCAUAAAUGAUCAUGAAGUUUUGAAGAUUUUGAAAAGAUUCUCAGCCAAAUUAAAGGAGAUAGAAGAUACCAUCAACCAACGAAACAAGGAUAUUCGUCUUAAGAAUCGAAGUGGUGCUGGUGUUCCUCCAUAUGAACUGCUACUACCUACUUCUGGUCCUGGUGUUACCUGUCGCGGUAUUCCGAACAGCAUCUCUAUCUGACAUGUUCAUGUGUUCACUCUAUAAUUUAUAUCUUCUAUGGUUAUAACUUUGUGCUAUGCAAUUUGUAGGUACUAUUCCUUCUUUUACAAAUGUUUUACAGGUCUUGCAGAAUAAUAUAUUGAGGGUUGUAAGCUGUUGAG
rnacentral:misc_RNA from 1 species